rnacentral:rRNA from 1 species
UACCUGGUUGAUCCUGCCAGUAAUCAUAUGCUUGUCUCAAAGAUUAAGCCAUGCAUGUCUAAGUACAUGCCGAAAUAAGGCGAAACCGCGAAUGGCUCAUUAAAUCAGUUAUGGUUCCUUAGAUCGUUUCUUCCUACUUGGAUAACUGUGGCAAUUCUAGAGCUAAUACAUGCAGUGAGCCUGAAGCCCUUUGGGCGACGGGUGCUUUUAUUAGACCAAGAUCGAUCGGGUUUCGGCCCGUAUUGUGUGGUGACUCUGGAUAACUUUGUGCUGAUCGCAUGGCCACGAGCCGGCGACGUUUCUUUCAAGUGUCUGCCUUAUCAACUUUCGAUGGUAGGUUACUUGCUUACCAUGGUUGUUACGGGUAACGGAGAAUCAGGGUUCGAUUCCGGAGAGGGAGCCUGAGAAACGGCUACCACAUCCAAGGAAGGCAGCAGGCGCGCAAAUUACCCACUCCCGGCACGGGGAGGUAGUGACGAAAAAUAACAAUACGGGACUCUUUUGAGGCCCCGUAAUUGAAAUGAGUACACUCUAAAUCCUUUAACGAGGAUCAAUUGGAGGGCAAGUCUGGUGCCAGCAGCCGCGGUAAUUCCAGCUCCAAUAGCGUAUACUAAAGCUGCUGCGGUUAAAAAGCUCGUAGUUGGAUCUCAGUUCCAGACGAGUAGUGCAUCUACCCGAUGCGACGGCUCGGACUGAACAUCAUGCCGGUCCUUUCUUGGUGCACUUCAUUGUGUGCCUCGAGAAGGCCGGUGCUUUUACUUUGAAAAAAUUAGAGUGCUCAACGCAGGCGAGUCGCCUGAAUAAACUUGCAUGGAAUAAUAGAACAAGACCUCGUUUCUGUUCUGUUGGUUUUUGGAAUACGAGGUAAUGAUUAAGAGGGACAGACGGGGGCAUUCGUAUUGCGGCGCUAGAGGUGAAAUUCUUGGACCGUCGCAAGACGAACUACUGCGAAAGCAUUUGCCAAGAAUGUUUUCUUUGAUCAAGAACGAAAGUCAGAGGUUCGAAGGCGAUCAGAUACCGCCCUAGUUCUGACCAUAAACGAUGCCAACCAGCGAUCCGCCUGAGUUACUCAAAUGACUCGGCGGGCAGCUUCCGGGAAACCAAAGUGUUUGGGUUCCGGGGGAAGUAUGGUUGCAAAGCUGAAACUUAAAGGAAUUGACGGAAGGGCACCACCAGGAGUGGAGCCUGCGGCUUGAUUUGACUCAACACGGGAAAACUUACCCGGCCCGGACACUGGGAGGAUUGACAGAUUGAGAGCUCUUUCUUGAUUCGGUGGAUGGUGGUGCAUGGCCGUUCUUAGUUGGUGGAGCGAUUUGUCUGGUUAAUUCCGAUAACGAACGAGACUCUAGCCUAUUAAAUAGGUGCGGGGUUCCCAGCACCUUACAACCUUCUUAGAGGGACAAGCGGCUCCUAGCCGCACGAAACAGAGCAAUAACAGGUCUGUGAUGCCCUUAGAUGUCCGGGGCCGCACGCGCGCUACACUGAAGGAAGCAGCGUGUCUUUAUCCCUGUCUGAAAAGACUGGGUAACCCGUGGAACUUCUUUCGUGAUUGGGAUAGGGGCUUGCAAUUGUUCCCCUUGAACGAGGAAUUCCCAGUAAGCGCGAGUCAUAAGCUCGCGUUGAUUACGUCCCUGCCCUUUGUACACACCGCCCGUCGCUACUACCGAUUGAAUGAUUUAGUGAGGUCUUCGGACCGAUGUCCGGCGCGGCCUUUCGGUUGCGCCGGUCUGUUGGAAAGAUGACCAAACUUGAUCAUUUAGAGGAAGUAAAAGUCGUAACAAGGUUUCCGUAGGUGAACCUGCGGAAGGAUCAUUA